AGGUGGUCAAAGAUUCCACCAUAUCCAUCCGAGAGAGAACCCACAAAAAGGCCCUCGCAUGGGUGAGUUGUGUUUGAUCUUGUUUGGUUUAAUCAAAGCCUCGGUGCUCUUGGGGUUUCAACCAAAGCCACCUCUCUUGGUCAUUUUUUUAGCGUGCAUCUCUUUUUAGCCAUUUUUGGGCGCAAUUCUUGUUAGGCCAUUUUGGGCGGACUCUUCUUGGUGUAUUAAAAUAUACAAAAAACCUUCUUUUGCAAAAAAGAAUGAGAGAAAAAGUUAUCCGAAAAAAAGAGAGAGAAAGUUUGAGAGAGAAGGUUAUCAUUCUCUUAGGGCGCAUUUGUUUUUAUGAACGAUUUCUUUCAAAGAGAAAUCUUUCUAAUUUUCCAAAAGUUCCGCGUUUGACACACGGUUUCAUCUAAAAAUUCAGAAAGUAAUCUUUCAACAAAAAUUCCUAUUCUUUUGUUAAAGCAUGAAA
rnacentral:lncRNA from 1 species